rnacentral:misc_RNA from 1 species
AACAAAUAAACAAUAACUCAGAAAUAAGAACACCAACACAUAAAUAACACACAAACAAGAACCAGAAACAACAAGAACAAUCCAGAAAUAUUUCGAUCCAUACACAAACAAUACAUCAAACCUAAAAUCUUCAAAUUUAACCUAGCCUAUUAUCUUCAAAUUUAACCUAGAAUGGAAAACCAAAUAGAUUAGAUCAAGGUAAACCAAAAUGCAAAAUGUGAGAGAGAACCCAGAUUAUGUGGGUACAACUCUGAUUCUCCGUGGCAAAUCCUGGUUGUAAGAAGAUGGGUUUCUUGAGAGUGGGUUUAAUUUCUGGUUGCACUGUCAAGUAGGUUCUCUUUCUUCAGCAACGGCUUUGAUGACUUUGACAAUGCAGAUCUAGAGAGGAAAUCAAGCUUCCUUGUGGGCUCAUUUCUUCACCUUUCCAAGCUCUAAAUCAUGCUUAACUAGCAUCUCCUCCAUGGAAGUGUGACGCAAAAAUGGGUUCACUGGGUUGUGAGGCAAAAAUGGCGGAGGAGGAAUGGAGCCAUGGCGUCGACGGGGAAAAGAAUGUGGCAAUG